rnacentral:sRNA from 1 species
AACUGACGACUCCUGCAGAGUGACGCGUGCCUGGGACAGCGUCUGCUGGGAUCAGGGUGGACGGGCACCUCAAAUAAGUGGGCCAGGGACCUGGGCCUGGGCCCCUCGGACUGGCAGGCACGCCCGCACCCCCGCGCCUCGCGCUCUUUACGGAAGCAGCCGCCCCCACGGAGCGGGCGGAGGCCCGGGGGCCGGGAGCGCGCGUGGAGGCUCCGGGACUGAGGCGGCGCCACCGCCUCCCGCCUGCAGCUGGAGCGCGGGCCGCCGCGGCGACAUCUUGCUCAGGAGGAAAGCGCGCGGGAGAGCGAGCUGCGCUUUAGCUGCUGCGCCACGCGCGCCUCGGGCCUGGGCGCAGAGGAUCGGCCGGGCGCGGCGGGAAGGAGGCUGCGGGCAGCGAGAAGCGGCUGGCGCUCGAGGCGGCGGACGGCACCAUGUCCCCGGGGAGCGGGGUGAAGAGCGAGUACAUGAAGCGCUACCAGGAGCCGCGCUGGGAUGAGUACGGGCCGUGCUACCGCGAGCUGCUGCACUACCGCCUAGGCCGCCGGCUGCUGGAGCAGGCGCACGCGCCCUGGCUCUGGGACGACUGGGGCCCGGCGGGCUCCUCGGAGGACUCGGCGUCGUCAGAGUCGUCGGGCGCCGGGGGCCCCGCGGGCCCCGCACCCCGGUGCGCCCCGCCCUCGCCCUCGCCCCCGCCGCCCGUAGAGCCGGCGGCCCAGGAGGAGGCGGAACGGCGGGCGCGCGGGGCCCCGGAGGAGCAGGACGCGGAGGCCGGGGACGCGGAGGCCGAGGACGCGGAGGACGCGGCUCUGCCAGGGAAUGCCUGGCUGUGCACCUAGGCGGUAACGAUGGAAACCACUCCCUGUUGUGUGGAGGGGCUUUUGAAUGAAGGAAGCGGCUCCCAGGAGGAGCACGGAAGGACUAAGGAGCAUUUUCAGGUGGAGUAACUCAAACAGCAACCUCCUGCAGCUGCUGGAGGAUGACCACAAAUCCAGAUCUUUCCGUGAAGGAAAGCAAAAUUGAGAUGAUUGGAUUUAUCUUGGGGGAUUGCGGAGAAAGCCCUUAGGGUGUGGUGCUCUCUAUCUUUUAACAUUCCAGAUGCUAAGUCUCAGAAUCGGAGUGGCAGUGGUUGCUUUUGAAUAAGCUUGGUUCAAUCUUGGUAUAUUUGUUGUUGAUUUUAAAAUGAGAUAAAUGGUUUGAAAAUUAUGCUAACUUGUUCCUGUAUUUCUACUUUAAGUGCAUCGUAUGAGUUGAGCCAUAAGUGAAAAUGUUACUGUCUUAAUUAAGCAUUAUGAUUUUUCAACAUAAAUAUUUUAAUUAUGUAUAAAUCUGAUUUCAAAGUAUUUUCAUCUCAUUUAUCUCUUUUCAAAAGCACUGCCGGUGAAAGAUGUAGAAGAUAAACCUGAACAACAAACCAGAACAAGAGAGACUGACAAAUCACCCACCAGUACUGAGCCUCGACAGCAACCAAGUGCCUUAUUUGCUAGAGGAAACAGGAAAGCGGUCAAAAGUCCCCAAAGAUCAUCGAGUAAAAUAAAAGAAAACAAGCAUCCAUUUGCUCUUUAUGGCUGGGGAGAAAAACAGACGGAUACAGGAAGCCAGAAGACUCACAACGUCUGUGCGUCCGCUCCUGUGCACGAGAUUCAUGAAUCAGCAUUACGAGCCAAGAACAGAAGACAGGUGGAAAAAAGGAAACUGGUUGCUCAAAGGCAGCGAGCUCACUCUGUGGAUGUGGAGAAGAACAGAAAGAUGAAGGCUUCCUCCUCAGAGAACCCGUGGAUGACAGAAUACAUGAGGUGCUAUUCGGCAAGAGCUUAAAGAAACACUUGCGUGGACAGCCUCUUUUAAAAAGUGUAAAUGACUGAAAGGAAAAACAAAACAAAAACCAUCAAAAGAAACUGGACACAGGUUUAAGAAACCAACUGAUUAUGCAAGGUUUUUUUUAGGGAAUUUGUAAAAGAUUGUUUUAUUUUGAUGAAUAUUGGUCACCUACCUCGGCAGUAGGGCAGACAGUUGAAGCCAUAGACAUUUGGUUAUUUAUGAAGAUAAUUCCCUAAAUCUUUGAUAUUCUUAUAAGGUUUUUGUUUUAAAGCAUCUUAAUCUUUUAAGAUACUGACACCAAAUGCCUUUAAAUGGCAACAGAUGCUUACAGUUCAGUAUUCUUUUCAUAAGCUUAGGUAGAGCCUAUUAUCAUCUUGUUCUAAAUAACUUUCCAGAUUCCAUAGCUAUAAGAUCAUUCCAUCCUACAGCAUAAGACUCGUUUUCCUUAUAUGCCGUUUUGUUUGUGAAAGAAUAUCAAGUCAAAAAUGAGUGUCAGCACUACUACUGAUUCCAUGUAUAAUGAAACUAGAACUUUGCUAGUUCCUGAAAAUUUUUAACUUAUUUGUAUUUCAGUUCAGCAGUAUCUUUAUGUAGAUUGUGAUAUUUAAGAAUUAUCUGGGCUGGGCGAGGGUCUCUUUUUCUCUUUCAGUGAUCAUCUAGGCAGUUAUUAUUUAAUAGUUUAAUAGCUCAAGUACAUUCCAAUAGACGAAGUGCACACAACACAAUAUGUGUGUACAGUAGUAGUAAAGUUUCUUUUGAGUAGUCAAAGACUUACUUUUUUAUUGCUUUUUUUUUUUUUUUUAAGAAUACAUACUGUGGAUUCAGUCCCUUGUCACACUUGACCUUUUGGCAUACACCCACUGUGGACUUUUGCCUCUUCUGUAAUGGCUGGCAAUGACAUUUCAAACUUACAAUCUGGAAUUGCACUUGGUACAUUGGCAUUGCUUGUUCCACUGGGAUGGGGACCAGUGUGAAGAUGCCUGUUAGAUAGACUGCCCACCCCUACUUUCUCUUUUUCUUUAUAGCACUUAACAAUAACAAAGUCUUGAUGAUGUACAGUAUUCAAACUUUAGGUUGAAAUACGUUACUCUUUGAUUCCUAGCCAGUAGAUCUUAUCUACACUUUAAUGGGAGAGAAUGGUGGCGUGUGGGUAGGCACAAAUUUAUGUAAAUAGUGCUCCUUCUCUUUAGUAUGUUUGCUUUGGGGGUAGAAGAAUGGUUUUAACAAACACUGGUUUCCAUCAAAUGAAUGAUGUCUUCUCCAUCCUGUGGAGACAAGAAUCUGCUAGAAGGAUAUGUGCUAAGUUCCUUAUAAGAGAUAACGGUGCUCUGCCUAUGCCAGCUUGGCACCCGAAGAUGUGUGAGUGGACGUGAGGCUGAGUAUUACCUUAGUAUUUUUCUCUGGGUCUUUGGAAAACCAUAGUCAAUUUUUAGAACAUAUUGCUUUCAUUCCCCAUAAACUCUUCACACAUGAUAACUGUUUAAGCUUUGAAAACACAUACUGAAGUAUUGUGAGCUUAAAAAAACUUUUUAAAUAUUUGCAUAGUUUUGAGGUGAAUUUGUUUCCUUACAGAUCUCUCCUAAUCAUUGAGAUGUAUAUUUCAAAAGAGGAAAUUUUACAUGUUGUCCAAAACAGCCUUGCUAGUAACUGGUGAAUUUUGGUAUUAACUAUUAUUAAAGUCUUUAAACGACA